rnacentral:rRNA from 1 species
GAUGAACGCUGGCGGCGUGCCUAAUACAUGCAAGUCGAGCGAACAGACGAGGAGCUUGCUCCUCUGACGUUAGCGGCGGACGGGUGAGUAACACGUGGAUAACCUACCUAUAAGACUGGGAUAACUUCGUGAAACCGGUGCUAAUACCGGAUAAUAUAUUGAACCGCAUGGUUCAAUAGUGAAAGACGGUUUUGCUGUCACUUAUAGAUGGAUCCGCGCCGCAUUAGCUAGUUGGUAAGGUAACGGCUUACCAAGGCAACGAUGCGUAGCCGACCUGAGAGGGUGUUCGGCCACACUGGAACUGAGACACGGUCCAGACUCCUACGGGAGGCAGCAGUAGGGAAUCUUCCGCAAUGGGCGAAAGCCUGACGGAGCAACGCCGCGUGAGUGAUGAAGGUCUUCGGAUCGUAAAACUCUGUUAUUAGGGAAGAACAAAUGUGUAAGUAACUAUGCACGUCUUGACGGUACCUAAUCAGAAAGCCACGGCUAACUACGUG